GGCUUGGAUCCCUUCUUCCAGGUCCUUUAGUUUCUCAAACACUCUGUCUGAGGUGCCGAAAACCAAAUUGUUUGUGAACACCUUGCUUAGGUAUUGCACGGGGGUCAGCCAGGACUGGAUGAGAACCAGUGAAAACCGAAGCAGCUCCAUGUCCUGAAAUUACCAAAGGAUUUCAGAGCUGUGCAGUGCGGUGUUCCUGCAGUGCUGCUGCAUGCCCUGCUCUCCCUGAAGCAGCCCGGAGGAGCUGAGCGCCACCACUCAGACCUGAGUCCCUGUUCUGAAGACUUUAUUUAGGGGGGGAAUAGGAUUUCCUGCCCGACCCGUGUCUUUCUGCACGCAGGGUGUGAAAAGGAAGAAUCCCAGGAGAGGUGGAAACCCUGUGUUCCAUAGAACAGCGCUGUGUGUGCUGGGGGGAGACGACUCACCGAUUUCUGCUGGGCGUCAUCCUUCCCUGUGGGAGCUGGGAUGGUUUCCGAGUAACAAAAUGCGGCCUGGGAGUUUUUGUUGGUGUACCUCUGGUCCUCCGGAAUGUAGGUUGCAAGAAGGAAACGUGGCACACGAUGUGCAUCUCUGUGCAGGUGGGAAAGCGGAGCACAGCACUGCUGGACUUAUGGAUCUGCUCUCACUGAGGCAGAGGGUUGAGUCUUUGCAGGGAUGUACGCAGGGUGGGAAGCCACGGCGCGCUCCUGGCAACAUCAAGCUAACAAGACGGCCAACACUUACGAACUCUUUGUACGUCUCAGCAGCCAGGAGGUGGAGGUGCUGAGCCCUCAGCACAGCGUUGGCAAACAGGUUGGAGAGGGGCAUGGCAGGGAAGGUGGCAGCAGCGCCCUGCGGCAGUCCCAACGUGACCACAGCAACGAGGAGAGGAGAAAACCACGAGCCUGCAGCAGAGCGCAGAGGAGAGGGGUUACAGGAGAGGGGUUACCUGUCCUUUGGUGGCACCUGGGAUCAGUGUUGCGCCCACCUGUUUCACCUUCCCGAGCAGAGCACGGGGCGCCCUUUGGUGCCUGAGCAAACAGGACGGAGAGCAGUGGGUGAGGAGUGGGAACGGCUCAGCUGAGCCUCUGCACCAUGCUGCUGCCACUGCACUGCCUCCACUGGGACCAGAGGUGGUUGCAUUGCCUGCGCUGUGGCUCCCUGGGACACAGCUAGCAUCUGGAGGUCACUGCCAAGCCUGAAGGUUAUUAACCCUUCACAUCAGCUCACACCAGUGCCCACUUACACAGGUUAAUCUCAGUGGAGGUGAACUGGAGUGGAGGAAUGCUCUGGAGCCUGCAGGACUUGCACAAGUGCAGGAUUGAAUUGUUAUCUUUGAAGUGCCUUUCAACCCAGGCCAUUCUGAGGGUCUACGAUUAGACAUCACCCUGCUCUCUGUUCAGAGCCUUGGAAUUGAGUUUUCAUAUCCCUGGCAGCACAUAUGAUAGCAAUAACUGUUACAACUCUGCUUUGCCUCGUUCUCUGUAUUCUGCAGCUCAUUCCUGCCCCUUGCCAAGGUUGGGCUCAGGGUUACCUGACUGUUUGUGGUAUGAAGUCGCGCUGUAGGGAAAGAUGUCCUUUGUCACUGAUCUGUAAGCUGCCAAGUUUUAAUUCAGAGCCCCCCCAGCGCCACCCCACCAUCGCGUCCCACCACCCAAAGCGCUUUGAUGGCACGUCUGUUAAAGCUGAGGUAAAGCAAAGUACCUGGAGCCAUUCCUGCCAGGAGAGCUGCUUGGGAGCUGCUUGAGCGUUUCCUCCUUUCAUCCAGGUGAUGAUGCCAGGUGAGACACCCCUUAUAUAGGGGGCUCUGUUUAAAAUGGAUGGGGCGUUCGCCAUCACUGCCACCUCUCCAUAUCCCGUCCUUGCAUAAAUGCAGAUGUGCUCGCCAUGGUGCCACCUCAUUCUAGUCAUUUAUACGGAGAUGGAAAGGUUGGGGAGGAUGUUUGCCUGGGGAUAAAAUUAGUGCUGAACUUUUUCUUCA